GAUGAACGCUGGCGGCGUGCCUAAUACAUGCAAGUCGAGCGAACAGACGAGGAGCUUGCUCCUCUGACGUUAGCGGCGGACGGGUGAGUAACACGUGGAUAACCUACCUAUAAGACUGGGAUAACUUCGGGAAACCGGAGCUAAUACCGGAUAAUAUUUUGAACCGCAUGGUUCAAUAGUGAAAGACGGCUUUGCUGUCACUUAUAGAUGGAUCCGCGCCGCAUUAGCUAGUUGGUAAGGUAACGGCUUACCAAGGCAACGAUGCGUAGCCGACCUGAGAGGGUGAUCGGCCACACUGGAACUGAGACACGGUCCAGACUCCUACGGGAGGCAGCAGUAGGGAAUCUUCCGCAAUGGGCGAAAGCCUGACGGAGCAACGCCGCGUGAGUGAUGAAGGUCUUCGGAUCGUAAAACUCUGUUAUUAGGGAAGAACAAAUGUGUAAGUAACUAUGCACGUCUUGACGGUACCUAAUCAGAAAGCCACGGCUAACUACGUG
rnacentral:rRNA from 1 species